GCCGGGGUGGCUGAGUGGAUAUAGCGCAGGCCUUGAGAGCCUGUGGCCCCCGCGGGCCGCAUGGGUUCGAAUCCCAUCCCCGGCG
rnacentral:tRNA from 1 species